rnacentral:rRNA from 2 species
GAUGAACGCCGGCGGUGUGCCUAAUACAUGCAAGUCGAGCGCACUGGCCCAACUGAUAUGACGUGCUUGCACUGAUUUGACGAUGGAUUACCAGUGAGCGGCGGACGGGUGAGUAACACGUGGGCAACCUGCCCUGGAGCGGGGGAUAACAUCUGGAAACAGGUGCUAAUACCGCAUGACUACUAAAACCACCUGGUUUUAGUAUAAAAGAAGGCUUCGGCUUUCACUCUAGGAUGGGCCCGCGGUGCAUUAGCUAGUUGGUAAGGUAACGGCUUACCAAGGCGAUGAUGCAUAGCCGAGUUGAGAGACUGAUCGGCCACAAUGGAACUGAGACACGGUCCAUACUCCUACGGGAGGCAGCAGUAGGGAAUCUUCCACAAUGGGCGCAAGCCUGAUGGAGCAACACCGCGUGAGUGAAGAAGGGUUUCGGCUCGUAAAGCUCUGUUGUUGAAGAAGAACGUGCGUGAGAGUAACUGUUCACGCAGUGACGGAUCAACCA